UGCUGGGUGUCCGUACUGAUCAAGGCCAAGGUAGAGGAGGUGUCCCAUGGGAGGCCUGCAGGUCCCAGGAGGGUGGAAUCGAAGCAGCCUGCCUGAGCCCAGGGCGGAGGCUCUCCUUCCCAACGGGGGCAGGACCCAGAGGAAGAAUGAGGCCACAGAGGCAGGUCCUGACCAGGCCCCUGGAAGGCAGCAGAGUGCUGAGAGCCUUGAGAAAGAGUGGAGGCCCCGGUGACCACAGCCUCAUGACUGCUGAGGGACAGGGCCAGAGUCUUCUUCCUAACUGCGCCCCUCUCCCUUUCUCCAUUUCCCCAUAAACCCUUGAAACAGAGGAGCCUGUGUGUGUGUGUGUCCUUGGGGCCGCCGAGAAGUGGCAGCAGAGGGUCCUGCCCUCCACAAGGCACGGGAGCAGGGACCAUGAGUGACCUGGGAACACUGGCCCCGGGCUCCCUGACUCCCUCUGUCUGCCCCGGCCUCCACUUUAAGUCACACCCAACAGUUGUGAGAUGUCGGUGUUUCUGUUGCUAGACAUUCCUGUUGCUGUGCAGCAGCUGGGGGUGGGACAAAGGACUCCCUCUUCUAAUUUUUAAAAUGCAAAGCAAACCGCAUGUGGACCCUCAGGAGGAGCUGCCUUUCCUCCUGCUCCGUGGCUCCUCCCGCUUCGUGCCUCCUCCCAUCUGACAGCUCCCCCAGCCUGCUGGGCACUGAGUCCUCUGCUGUGGGGGUUGCCGGUGCCACUUCCCCUCUCCACAGCCGUGCAGUGCCCGGCUCAGCUCAAGUUCACAGCCCUUUCAGCUGGUGUACCCGUGGACACCCGCCUGGUCACAGUGGGAUAUGCAGCUGGCAACCUGCUCCAGCCAUCCUGCAAGUCACUGUGAACGCCCUCAGGCUCCAACAGCAAAGCCACUGGUCGGAAAGAGGCUGGGCUCCUGCACACCCGCCGGCGAUGGCUGCCCUUGUCCAUCCUGUUCCCUGAAGGGGAGCGGCUGCUGGAGGGUGAAGCCGCUAAGGUUUGAGGGUGAAGCCACUGGUUUGAUCCCUCCGCCCGCAUCACAGUUGCUUCACCAGCCACAGAAGCACGGGGGAGUCAAAAAUGGGAAGGACAGAAAUGGUUCCUGACCACGCGAGCUGGAGAACAAGACGCUAGAACACAGUGCUCAAUACGGGCAUCCUGCUCUGAGAAGAUGUGGUUCCGAUUGCGGCUUCGGGGUCUCCAAAAUCUGCCCAUCAGCAGGCACCGCACGUCCAAGGCCAGGACCGCAUCCGACACCGCCACCUGCUGGUGAGUGGGAACAUGACGUCUCGGGGCCAAAUGUGAAGAACACGUUCAGGAUAUUGAGUUAGAGAAAUAUCAAACUCUUUUAAAUUCCAUCACAGCUACCAAAACCAAACUGGGGAUGUAAAGAAUUUUUCAGCACAUUGUGUACUAUUUAAAUUGCACACACACAAUAAAGGCUUGCUAGACAGCC